GAUGAACGCUGGCGGCGUGCCUAAUACAUGCAAGUCGAACGCGCAGCGAAAGGUGCUUGCACCUUUCAAGCGAGUGGCGAACGGGUGAGUAACACGUGGAUAACCUGCCUCAAGGCUGGAUAACAUUUGGAAACAGAUGCUAAUACCGAAUAAAACUUAGUAUCCCAUGAUACAAAGUUAAAAGGCGCUACGGCGUCACCUAGAGAUGGAACCGCGGUGCAUUAGUUAGUUGGUGGGGUAAAGGCUUACCAAGACGAUGAUGCAUAGCCGAGUUGAGAGACUGAUCGGCCACAUUGGGACUGAGACACGGCCCAAACUCCUACGGGAGGCUGCAGUAGGGAAUCUUCCACAAUGGGCGCAAGCCUGAUGGAGCAACGCCGCGUGUGUGAUGAAGGCUUUCGGGUCGUAAAGCACUGUUGUAUGGGAAGAAAUGCUAAAAUAGGGAAUGAUUUUAGUUUGGCGGUACCAUACCAGAAAGGGACGGCUAAAUACGUGCCAGCAGCCGCUGUAA
rnacentral:rRNA from 1 species